rnacentral:lncRNA from 1 species
UCGCAGGAGGUGGAGCAGAGUCGUGGCCAUUACUGUGGCCUGUCGGCCGAAGCUCGGUUGAAGCAUCUGGUGGAGAGGGGUAGCUGUCUAUCUGAGAGGAGCUCGGAUGUUGCUGGCGAGCCUUCUAUCGUUGGGUGCUGUUGGACGUUAAUACUAUAGGUGAGGGCCAUUCGUUGUAGGAGCUCAGUCAGAGGCUUUCCGUAGACGAAGC